rnacentral:rRNA from 1 species
AACGAACGCUGGCGGCAGGCUUAACACAUGCAAGUCGAACGAGCCCUUCGGGGCUAGUGGCGCACGGGCGCGUAACGCGCGGGAAUCUGCCCUCUGGUUCGGAAUAACUCAGGGAAACUUGAGCUAAUACCGGAUAAUGACUUCGGUCCAAAGAUUUAUCGCCAGAGGAUGAGCCCGCGUCGGAUUAGCUAGUUGGUGAGGUAAAAGCUCACCAAGGCGACGAUCCGUAGCUGGUCUGAGAGGAUGAUCAGCCACACUGGGACUGAGACACGGCCCAGACUCCUACGGGAGGCAGCAGUGGGGAAUAUUGGACAAUGGGCGAAAGCCUGAUCCAGCAAUGCCGCGUGAGUGAUGAAGGCCUUAGGGUUGUAAAGCUCUUUUACCCGGGAUGAUAAUGACAGUACCGGGAGAAUAAGCCCCGGCUAACUCCGUGCCAGCCGCCGCAGUAAAAC